CCUGGGUCUUAUUUAAAUCAUGUUUGCUUGUAGUGCCAAAGAGAAGGAAACGCUGGCAGCAGUGUUGAGAACAAAUUCUAAGUCCAUUUCAAAAUAAACCAACAAAACUGCAUCCAAGAAAUUCAGUCUCAAGAUCUCAGCUGUUCAAGAUCUCCUAGAAGUAACAACAGAAGUGAGACAAUCUCCUCACUGUCAGUUCAGAUGUUUCUACCGGUGAAAGUCACGGUUGAUGUUGGUUGAGAUUCUGUGAAAGAAAUAUUACUCUUCUCUCUUCUGAAAAAUGUGCUGGAAAUGUUGUUUUUUUUUGUCAAAUGUUUUUCCAGGGAAGGAGGUGGGAAACAGUUUGAGAGGCAUACAAACAGCAGGGAAGAGAACUUCCCUUUUGUCAGUGAUGGUUGCAGGUUGUUCUCUUUUUGUCUUCCACUUUAUUGUCCUGUGUUUCUACACUACUUGAGGACAUCUAUCUAG
rnacentral:lncRNA from 1 species